rnacentral:rRNA from 1 species
UGGCGGCNGCUAACACAUGCCAAGUCGAUUAGAUCCUUCGGGAUUAGUGGCANACGGGUGAUGUAACGCGUGGGAAGCUACCUUGUGGUAGGGAACAACAGUUGGAAACGACUGCUAAUACCCUAUGAGCCCUAUGGGGGAAAGAUUUAUCGCCAUGAGAUGUGCCCGCGUUAGAUUAGCUAGUUGGUAAGGUAAUGGCUUACCAAGGCGACGAUCUAUAGCUGGUCUGAGAGGAUGAUCAGCCACACUGGGACUGAGACACGGCCCAGACUCCUACGGGAGGCAGCAGUGGGGAAUAUUGGACAAUGGGGGCAACCCUGAUCCAGCCAUGCCGCGUGAGUGAUGACGGCCUUAGGGUUGUAAAGCUCUUUCAGCAGUGAAGAUAAUGACAUUAACUGCAGAAGAAGCCCCGGCUAACUUCGUGCCAGCAGCCGCGGUAAUACGAAGGGGGCUAGCGUUGUUCGGAAUCACUGGGCGUAAAGCGUACGUAGGCGGACUGAUCAGUCAGGGGUGAAAUCCCGGGGCUCAACCCCGGAACUGCUUUGAUACUGUCAGUCUUGAGAUCGAGAGAGGUGAGUGGAACUCCGAGUGUAGAGGUGAAAUUCGUAGAUUUCGGAAGAACACCAGUGGCGAAGGCGGUCACUGGUCGAUACUGAC